GUGCAGCAGGCGAGAAUUUUUCUCAAUGGGGGCAACCCUGAAGGAGCGACGCCGCGUGGAGGAUGAAGGCUUUCGGGUCGUAAACUCCUGUCAUUUGAGAACAAGUGGCCGAACAUAACUACUUCGGCCUUGAUAGUAUCAGAAGAGGAAGGGACGGCUAACUCUGUGCCAGCAGCCGCGGUAAUACAGAGGUCCCAAGCGUUGUUCGGAUUCAUUGGGCGUAAAGGGUGCGUAGGUGGCGCCGUCAGUGGGGUGUGAAAUUCCGGAGCUUAACUCCGAAACUGCAUUCCAUACUGCGGUGCUUGAGGACUGGAGAGGAGACUGGAAUUUACGGUGUAGCAGUGAAAUGCGUAGAGAUCGUAAGGAAGACCAGUGGCGAAGGCGGGUCUCUGGACAGUUCCUGACACUGAGGCACGAAGGCUAGGGGAGCGAACGGGAUUAGAUACCCCGGUAGU
rnacentral:rRNA from 1 species